GAUGAACGCUAGCGGCAGGCUUAAUACAUGCAAGUCGAGGGGGAGCAUGAAUGUAGCAAUACAUUUGAUGGCGACCGGCAAACGGGUGCGGAACACGUACACAACCUUCCUAUAAGUGGGGAAUAGCCCAGAGAAAUUUGGAUUAAUACCCCGUAACAUAAUGAUGUGGCAUCACAUUAUUAUUAUAGCUUCGGCGCUUAUUGAUGGGUGUGCGGCUGAUUAGAUAGUUGGCGGGGUAACGGCCCACCAAGUCUACGAUCAGUAGCUGAUGUGAGAGAAUGAUCAGCCACACGGGCACUGAGACACGGGCCCGACUCCUACGGGAGGCAGCAGUAAGGAAUAUUGGUCAAUGGACGCAAGUCUGAACCAGCCAUGCCGCGUGAAGGAUUAAGGUCCUCUGGAUUGUAAACUUCUUUUAUCUGGGACGAAAAAAGGCUAUUCUUAGUCACUUGACGGUACCAGAUGAAUAAGCACCGGCUAACUCCGUGCCAGCCGCCGCCGUAAAAC
rnacentral:rRNA from 1 species